GGGCCCUUAGCUCAGUGGUUAGAGCACCCGGCUCAUAACUGGAUGGUCCCUGGUUCGAAUCCAGGAGGGCCUACCA
rnacentral:tRNA from 1 species